rnacentral:rRNA from 1 species
UACAGAGGGUGCGAGCGUUAAUCGGAAUUACUGGGCGUAAAGCGCACGUAGUCGGCUUUGCAAGUCGGUUGUGAAAUCCCCCGGGCUCAACCUGGGAACUGCAUCCGAGACUGCAUUGCUAGAGUAUGGGAGAGGAAAGCGGAAUUUCUGGUGUAGCAGUGAAAUGCGUAGAUAUCAGAAGGAAACAUCAGUGGCGAAAGGCGGCUU